rnacentral:lncRNA from 1 species
UUUUUUUAUCAUCACAAAGGAGAGCACAUGUGGCUGUAAGGUCUAGGUAUGAUGGGCCGUCCAUGCUAGUAUGAAUGGCAAGGUUGAGUUUGCCUCAACAGAUAAACCUCACAUCAAAGCAAGGUAAGCAAUACUUGCUGUUGUAUUAAAUAAACCCUCAAAACUUAGUAGGUUUAGCUGGGCAUGGUCAUGCACGCCUUUACUCCCAGUGGCUUGGGAGGCUGAG